GUGGGGAAUAUUGGACAAUGGGGGGAACCCUGAUCCAGCCAUGCCGCGUGUGUGAAGAAGGCCUUUUGGUUGUAAAGCACUUUAAGCGAGGAGGAGGCGCUCUAGGCUAAUACCCUAGAUGCGUGGACGUUACUCGCAGAAUAAGCACCGGCUAACUCUGUGCCAGCAGCCGCGGUAAUACAGAGGGUGCGAGCGUUAAUCGGAUUUACUGGGCGUAAAGCGCGCGUAGGUGGCUAAUUAAGUCAAAUGUGAAAUCCCCGAGCUUAACUUGGGAAUUGCAUUCGAUACUGGUUAGCUAGAGUAUGGGAGAGGAUGGUAGAAUUCCAGGUGUAGCGGUGAAAUGCGUAGAGAUCUGGAGGAAUACCGAUGGCGAAGGCAGCCAUCUGGCCUAAUACUGACACUGAGGUGCGAAAGCAUGGGGAGCAA
rnacentral:rRNA from 1 species